AGAGAUGUGGAGGAACACCAGUGGCGAAGGCGACUCUCUGGUCUGUAACUGACGCUGAGGAGCGAAAGCGUGGGGAGCGAACAGGAUUAGAUACCCUGGUAGUCCACGCCGUAAACGAUGAGUGCUAAGUGUUAGGGGGUUUCCGCCCCUUAGUGCUGCAGCUAACGCAUUAAGCACUCCGCCUGGGGAGUACGGUCGCAAGACUGAAACUCAAAGGAAUUGACGGGGGCCCGCACAAGCGGUGGAGCAUGUGGUUUAAUUCGAAGCAACGCGAAGAACCUUACCAGGUCUUGACAUCCUCUGACAAUCCUAGAGAUAGGACGUCCCCUUCGGGGGCAGAGUGACAGGUGGUGCAUGGUUGUCGUCAGCUCGUGUCGUGAGAUGUUGGGUUAAGUCCCGCAACGAGCGCAACCCUUGAUCUUAGUUGCCAGCAUUCAGUUGGGCACUCUAAGGUGACUGCCGGUGACAAACCGGAGGAAGGUGGGGAUGACGUCAAAUCAUCAUGCCCCUUAUGACCUGGGCUACACACGUGCUACAAUGGACAGAACAA
rnacentral:rRNA from 1 species